UUAAGCGUCUCAGGACAGCAGGAAAAGCUUUAAACCUUACUGCUAAAUAUUUUCAAACCCUAGGUAUAGCCAAUCUGCUUCAAACGACAUUCACAGUGAUUUGAAACGGUCCGAGAAAAACGCGAGCAGAGGCGAGAAAAACGUGUACAAAAAAUCCAACGAAUGGCCGCAUUGCAAUGUCUUUCCAUGCAUGUGGUCCGUGGAUUCAGACACCGAUUCUGUGUUUGAAACUAACCUAGCCGUUGAGUGUUCUAGAAUGUUUGAAACGGAAGGAAAAUUCAAAAUUCACAUUUCAAAUUGCAUUUAGCGUGCAAAAGUAUGAUUAUAUAUAACCCUCGGCAUUUGUAGACCAGAGGAUGAAGAGGCAAAGCAUAAGAAAAGGCAGGGAUCAGGAAAUAGAAAUUGAAUGAGGGCAAAAUUCUUCUUGCAGUUGUCAUGGCACUGGCAACGGAUUCAUGGGUGGGUCCAUUUCUAAAAGAGGAGGCAUUGCUAAGCAUUUCAUGACUCCCUCUGAACCUGCUCACUGGUGGAUGUCAUUGUUUUACUCAAGGAAAAAGUUUUUGGAUUGGGAUGUCUUAAUUUUAG